CAUCCAUUCCUGUGACACAGGGAAGGAGACACAGGUGACUGAGGAGCAGGUGCAGGAGUUUUAUCAGAUCGCCGAGAAGCACGGCAUCGCGAAGGAGAACAUUCAGGACGCCGUCCCCACUGAUACGUGUGAGGAUUAAAGACGUCCACUGGAUCAGGUAGAGCGUCUGAGCCGUCCUCGACAUCAAGUCCAACUCUUCGGAACGGAGAUGGUUCCCGCAUUUCUCUCACGUUUUCUUCAGAUCUCAGCUGGACGGCCGGAGCCUCUGCCACACGGAUCGACUUACUAGUCAAUACUUUGAGAUACAUCUUUAAAUAACUAAAUAAAUCAAUUUCUUAUGCAAUGGA